AACUUGAGCUGAAGCUGUAGGGUUCUCCAUCUAUCCACGACUUCGAGGCAUUAAAAGAGCGGCGAUAACUGUGCAAUUCUUUCUUCUUGGUCUUUUUACAUUUUAACUCAAAGUGAGGCUGAGGUGAAUUUUUACAACAAAGGGUGAAGAGAAAACUUCCCAGCCUACAUUUCCAGAGAUGAUACAACUACUAAGCAGAUCAAGUAUUCUAUACCCGAUAGUUUAAUGUCAAAACAAGUUUAAUUGGGGUCAUGUUG
rnacentral:lncRNA from 1 species